rnacentral:rRNA from 1 species
UACGUAGGGGGCAAGCGUUGUCCGGAUUUAUUGGGCGUAAAGAGCGUGUAGGCGGCCAGACAGGUCCGUUGUGAAAACUCGAGGCUCAACCUCGAGACGUCGGUUGAAACCGUAUGGCUAGAGUCCGGAAGAGGAGAGUGGAAUUCCCGGUGUAGCGGUGAAAUGCGCAGAUAUCGGGAAGAACACCCGUGGCGAAGGCGGCUCUCUGGGACGGUACUGACGCUGAGACGCGAAAGCGUGGGGAGCGAACAGG